rnacentral:rRNA from 1 species
AACGAACGCUGGCGGCAUGCCUAACACAUGCAAGUCGAACGAGACCUUCGGGUCUAGUGGCGCACGGGUGCGUAACGCGUGGGAACCUGCCCUUAGGUUCGGAAUAACUCCCCGAAAGGGGUGCUAAUACCGGAUAAUGUCUUCGGACCAAAGAUUUAUCGCCUUUGGAUGGGCCCGCGUUGGAUUAGCUAGUUGGUAGGGUAAAAGCCUACCAAGGCGACGAUCCAUAGCUGGUCUGAGAGGAUGAUCAGCCACACUGGGACUGAGACACGGCCCAGACUCCUACGGGAGGCAGCAGUGGGGAAUAUUGGAAAAUGGGCGAAAGCCUGAUCCAGCAAUGCCGCGUGAGUGAUGAAGGCGUUAGGGUUGUAAAGCUCUUUUACCCGGGAUGAUAAUGACAGUACCGGGAGAAUAAGCACCGGCUAAUUCUGUG